UUGGUCCUACGGGGCGCAGCAGUGGGGAAUAUUGCACAAUGGGCGAAAGCCUGAUGCAGCAACGCCGCGUGAGCGAUGAAGGCCUUCGGGUCGUAAAGCUCUGUCCUCAAGGAAGAUAAUGACGGUACUUGAGGAGGAAGCCCCGGCUAACUACGUGCCAGCAGCCGCGGUAAUACGUAGGGGGCUAGCGUUAUCCGGAAUUACUGGGCGUAAAGGGAGCGUAGACGGCGGCGCAAGUCCGGAGUGAAAGCCCACGGCCCAACCGUGGGACUGCUCUGGAAACUGUGCGGCUUGAGUGCGGGAGG
rnacentral:rRNA from 1 species